UGCGGCGGGCCCGUAGUGGUCUGGACUCUUCCAGCUGGCUCCUGCAGGGUCUUCAGCCUCUGACUGUAUGUCUGAUGUUAAACACAGUAAGGACUUUUCAGGUAGUCCUUUGCCUUAACAUAUGUUGCUGAAAGUGAAUGGCAUGCAUUAGUGAAAUUUAGCAAGUUGAAUCUUAUAGAAACGUUUUCAUAUGCAGCAUUUUUCCUUACCACAGCUAACCAAGACCCUCACGUCACCAUGCACGUCCCACGCUGCACCUGGAGGAAGUUGGUGCGCGACUGCCUUCUGGAGGCGGUUAUGAUCGUAAGAACUAGGAGGCCAGAAACAAUUCCAUGACUCCCCUGCCUCCUCCAACCAGCUGCUUGGCACUAUGAAGACAAGGAAUUAGGAUUGGUGAAGAAGAGGGAUGGCAACAUAAUGGUCUUGGUCUGUGAAAAAGCACACAUUUUCUGCUGAC
ensembl:lncRNA